rnacentral:rRNA from 1 species
CCUACGGGUGGCAGCAGUGAGGAAUAUUGGUCAAUGGCCGGAAGGCUGAACCAGCCAUGCCGCGUGAAGGUCAGUGCCCUAUGGGCGUUAAACUUCUUUUGUGCGGGAGCAAUAAUGGUCACGUGUGGCCAGACGAGAGUACCGUACGAAUAAGCAUCGGCUAACUUCGUGCCAGCAGCCGCGGUCAUACGGGGGAUGCAAGCGUUAUCCGGAUUUUUUGGGUUUAAAGGGUGCGUAGGCUGGGAGGUAAGUCAGCGGUGAAAUGCCCCGGCUCAACGGGGUGAAGUGCCAUUGAUACUGCCUUGCUGGAAUGCGGAUGCCGUAGGAGGAAUGUGUGGUGUAGCGGUGAAAUGCAUAGAUAUCACACAGAACACCGAUUGCGAAGGCAUCUCACGAAUCCGCGAUUGACGCUGAUGCACGAAAGCGUGGGUAUCGAACAGGAUUAGAUACCCCUGUAGUC